CGGCCCUGAGGGGGGAGGGAGGGCCGAGCUUUGGGGCUGGAGGGGAUAUAGCCCAGGGUCGUAGCUCAGGUCGGAGCGGGCCUUUAAGGUCACGGAACGGUUGGGUUGGAAGAGACCCCAGGGCCCUCCCCAGCCCCACUCCUCUGUGGGCCGGCUGCCCCCCGCCAGCACAGGGCCCCAGGGCCCGCCCGAGGUUUGUCACUCAUCUCCAUCCACAAGUCCAAAACUCUGCGUCCUUGUGCCCAAACGUGGAUACGGCGAGGGAUGGGCUUCCCCCCCAGGCCCACCUGUCUUUUGGAACGGGUUCUGACAUUGGCAACGCCUCCCGGGUUCCAUUUUGUGCCCCUUGGCCUUCCCCCAACGCAUUUAGGGCGCUGGUCAACACACGGCUUGUUUUUUUGUUGCUUAAGGGAACGCCGUGCACCUCAACCCAUUCCUUUUCCAUCUCUCCAGCCUGAGAAAACGCUGAGAAAGAAUCCGCCUCCCAGUGACUCAGUGCUAUCUCCACCCACCACCAGCUCAGACCCGCUCCCCCGGGGAGGAGAACAGCGGAAAAUAUGAAUUCCAAUUGGAAUUCCUGGCGUCACCCCAAGGGGAAAACAGGCACCGAGGCACCGGCACGUAGAUCUCCUGCUUGCUGCGGUCACCAGAGGGCACACGUCCGCUGCCGUGACAUGGAAAAAAGUUCCCAAUUUGGGCUGUUUGCUGAGCUCAACCCGGGCGAGGAGGAGCGUUCAGCCAACGGCGUGGGCAUAAAGUGGAGCACGAACGGCGUCCAACGAAACGUCGGCGGCGUAAAAUGAAACGUCGAUGGGCGUCAGACGAAACCCCUGUGGCGUGAAGUCAAACGUGGACGGCGCAAAAGGAAACCUGGACGGCACAAAAUGGAAGCUGGAUGACGUAAAACCGAACCUGGAUGAUGUAAAGCGGGACCUGGAUGACAUAAAACCGAACCUGGAUGGCGUAGAGCGGGACCUGGAUGACGUAAAACCGAACCUGGAUGACGUAAAGCGGGACCUGGAUGACACAGAGCGAAGCAUUGAUGGCGGAAAGCGGGACCUGGAUGACAUAAAACCAAACCUGGAUGACAUAAAGCGGGACGUGGAUGACGUAAAACCGAACCUGGAUGAC
rnacentral:lncRNA from 1 species